rnacentral:rRNA from 1 species
GAUGAACGCUGGCGGCGUGCCUAAUAUAUGCAAGUCGAGCGAACGGACGAGAAGCUUGCUUCUCUGAUGUUAGCGGCGGACGGGUGAGUAACACGUGGAUAACCUACCUAUAAGACUGGGAUAACUUCGGGAAACCGGAGCUAAUACCGGAUAAUAUUUUGAACCGCAUGGUUCAAAAGUGAAAGACGGUCUUGCUGUCACUUAUAGAUGGAUCCGCGCUGCAUUAGCUAGUUGGUAAGGUAACGGCUUACCAAGGCAACGAUGCAUAGCCGACCUGAGAGGGUGAUCGGCCACACUGGAACUGAGACACGGUCCAGACUCCUACGGGAGGCAGCAGUAGGGAAUCUUCCGCAAUGGGCGAAAGCCUGACGGAGCAACGCCGCGUGAGUGAUGAAGGUCUUCGGAUCGUAAAACUCUGUUAUUAGGGAAGAACAUAUGUGUAAGUAACUGUGCACAUCUUGACGGUACCUAAUCAGAAAGCCACGGCUAACUACGUGCCAGCAGCCGCGGUAAUACGUAGGUGGCAAGCGUUAUCCGGAAUUAUUGGGCGUAAAGCGCGCGUAGGCGGUUUUUUAAGUCUGAUGUGAAAGCCCACGGCUCAACCGUGGAGGGUCAUUGGAAACUGGAAAACUUGAGUGCAGAAGAGGAAAGUGGAAUUCCAUGUGUAGCGGUGAAAUGCGCAGAGAUAUGGAGGAACACCAGUGGCGAAGGCGACUUUCUGGUCUGUAACUGACGCUGAUGUGCGAAAGCGUGGGGAUCAAACAGGAUUAGAUACCCUGGUAGUCCACGCCGUAAACGAUGAGUGCUAAGUGUUAGGGGGUUUCCGCCCCUUAGUGCUGCAGCUAACGCAUUAAGCACUCCGCCUGGGGAGUACGACCGCAAGGUUGAAACUCAAAGGAAUUGACGGGGACCCGCACAAGCGGUGGAGCAUGUGGUUUAAUUCGAAGCAACGCGAAGAACCUUACCAAAUCUUGACAUCCUUUGACAACUCUAGAGAUAGAGCUUUCCCCUUCGGGGGACAAAGUGACAGGUGGUGCAUGGUUGUCGUCAGCUCGUGUCGUGAGAUGUUGGGUUAAGUCCCGCAACGAGCGCAACCCUUAAGCUUAGUUGCCAUCAUUAAGUUGGGCACUCUAAGUUGACUGCCGGUGACAAACCGGAGGAAGGUGGGGAUGACGUCAAAUCAUCAUGCCCCUUAUGAUUUGGGCUACACACGUGCUACAAUGGACAAUACAAAGGGCAGCGAAACCGCGAGGUCAAGCAAAUCCCAUAAAGUUGUUCUCAGUUCGGAUUGUAGUCUGCAACUCGACUACAUGAAGCUGGAAUCGCUAGUAAUCGUAGAUCAGCAUGCUACGGUGAAUACGUUCCCGGGUCU